rnacentral:rRNA from 1 species
CAGUCGCCGCGGUAAUACGAGGGGUGCAAGCGUUAUUCGGAUUGAUUGGGUGUAAAGGGUGUGCAGACGGCUUAUUAAGUCACUUGUUAAAUUCUUCGGCCUAACUGAAGGUCUGCAAGUGAUACUGAUGAGCUAGAGGGUGGAAGAGAGAAGUGGAAUUCUCGGAGUAGCGGUAAAAUGCGUAGAUCUCGAGAGGAACACCUAUGGCGAAGGCAGCUUCUUGGUCCAUUCCUGACGUUCAUACACGAAAGCGUGGGGAGCGAACAGGAUUAGAUACCCGUGUAGUCCCUGUCUCUUAUAC